rnacentral:rRNA from 1 species
AGAACCACCCGGCGAAUUUAAGCAUAUUACUAACCGGAGGAAAAGAAACCAACAGGGGACGUCCUCAGUAGCGGCGAGCGAAGCGGACGAUGCCCAAACCGAACCGCGGUUCCCGAGGGGGCCGCGGAGUGUGGAGAGGAUGAGCUCGCGAGGGGGGCGGGACGGGUUCCAAUCCGUCUGGAAGGGCGGAGGCACGGAGGGCGAUUCCCCGUACGUGCUCGGUCCGUCCCCGACGAGCGAACGCAUCGGAGAGUCGGGCCGCUUGAGAGUGCAGCCCCGAAUGGGGUGAUAGGUCUCAUCCAAGGCUAAGUACGUGGGAGACGCCGAUAGCGAACAAGUACGGCGACGGAAAGGUGAAAAGAACCUCGAAAGGGGGGGUCAAAAGCGCUCGAAAUCGUAGAGGGGGA